rnacentral:tRNA from 1 species
GAGGGUAUAGCUCAGUGGUAGGGUGCAUACUUAGCAUGCACGAGGUCCUGGGUUCAAUCCCCAGUACCUCUG